AGUAAAGGAAAAGACGAAGAUAAAAAGAGAGACGCAUUGGAAGAAAUCCAACAAGGAAUCGAGGAGAAAGAGUCUUGUCACGUCAUCAGUGGAUCGCGAGCAAGCAGUCUUAAUCUCCAACCGACCAUUGCAGCGUAUCAUUAAUGUUUAUGAUGGGGAAAUGUUCAUCAUUCUUCGGUAAUUUAUGAUAUCACAUUUAGUUAGGGUAUUCUUCGCACGAAUCUUCACCGUCGUUUUCUGUUGUCACGUGAUUCCUUUCGCUGGAGCUGGUGACCAUCUCAGUGAGCACGCGGGGCAUUUGGUUUUGGGUUUGGAACCGUCUGGAAUCAGCUACAUUCCCACGUCACGUGAGUAUUAAGUCAAUUAUUGGGCCGAAGAACGCUGAUGCCCGUCACAGAAACCCAGAGUUUGUUGGUCAGCCGUCCAUUUGAAAGGGCUUCUCCCUCCCUUUCCCAUCUCCUCUCUCUCUCUCUCUCUCUCUCUCUCUCUCGCUGCUUUGUUCGGAGUUCUCUUCUUUUUACCCUCUUUCGAUUUUCUCAGUCUUCUUGACCUCUCUGGGGUUCCCAAGAUUCUCAUUCGUUGAUCCAUUUCCGUCCCUCCCGAUCCUUGAACGACCAUCUCCUCGGAGAAACUGGAGGCCCAGCAACGCCGGUUUCUGGAGGAGGACGGCACUCCUGAUCGCCAGCUCAAGCUGAUGGAGGAGAUAUUCCAAGAAGAUGCAGCAGCUGGAGGCGAGGACUGCAAGAAUUCAAAGAAGGAAGACGACGUGGACCCAAGCGCAGGUGGACUUCUAUUGUUUACUGUUCUAAUUAGGGGGGCUACCAUCCUGCUUCGGAUGAAUCAAAUGAAAGGCUCGGUCAAGCUUCGCAGAGGAAGAAGAAGGAAAAAGAAAGAGUUGUGAAGGAGAGAUAAAUAAGUGCGGAGAAAUGGGUGGACUAGUGGUUGUGGCAACAAAGGCGGCGUCAGAAAUGGGUCGCAAGCUCUAAUCGGGAGUGGCAUCACCCAAUGUUAUAUUUAUUUUAUGAUUUAUUUCUUUUUAUAUAUGAUUUAGCCCGUGCCAUGACGGCAACAUGAGAAGUGGGUCACAAGCCCUAAUCGGGGGUGGCACCACACAAUGUUAUAUUUAUUUUUGGGUUUGUUUCUAUUUAUAUAUGA